GCGGGGUUAAGGUGUGUGUGUGGUGCAGUCGUCCAGGUGACACCCUCUGUGGAGGAUUCAUUCUGGAGAGUCAAAGAGGAGGACACAGAAACAUCAGCCUGAGUUUAAACGAACUCUAGAGGAACAUUAAUUUGACUGAAGAUGAACUCUUUACGGAUAAACCUCUCUCAGCAAUCAGCUUCGUUCGUCAGCCUGUGUGAACAAAAUGAAUCCAGGAUAAGACAGAGUGUAUUCAGGCUUCAGGACAUCGCUGCUACAGUCAAAGACGUCCAGAAUGAAAAAGACAGAGGUAUUAUGGUAGGAGGGUUUGUAGCAGUACUCGUAGCGUUCGCAGCGAUAUUACUAGCACCUGUAACUGAAGGUGUGAGUUUAGGGUUCGCUGUGGUCGCUGCUCUUGUAGGAGGCUUAGUUGCUGUUAGUUUUACGAUAAAGAUGAAAAAUAUAGAACAAGAACAAGUUAGAAAAAUGAUUCCAUUCUCAGAAGAGUUCCAGAUGAUGGUUAGACCACUGAAGAACAUGCUGGAACCUGUAAAAACUGCAUGUGGAGCUCUUAGGAGGGAACAUGUCGGAGCUCAAGCUUUACCGCUCAUCAGGCUGGAAAUCGACAUCCUGGAGCUGAUCUUCAUCACCGAGCAGCUCCAAACCUCAGCAGUUAUUCUCUGUGGCACAGAUAAACAUUACAUCACAGAAGUAACUAACAAGUAUGAGAAGGUUUGUAAUGACUUCAUGAGGAUGAAAACACGCCUCCAGAUGUUUCACAUCCAGUGAAAGACUUUAAUUUCCUCAGACUGUUUAUUACCUAUGAACGAUGUCAAUCAUUUAUCCAAGGAAACCAGAGAGCAAAGGUCAUGAAGACUCGAUCUUCAGAGUCUGUUCACAUGAUUAAACUUUAUGUCUGUCACUGUAUAAUCAACAGAAACUAUAAGUUCAUUAUGUCGCGGGCUCAUCUGGUUGAACUGGUUUGGUCGUGGUCUUCCCUGUCUUCAGUUUUUAUGUUGUUUCCUGAAUCUGUCAUGUUGAUGUUUUAUUUCUCCCUUAGUCCACACUGAUAAUAUCAUUCCAUUUAUUGCGUUAGUCUGUUUAUUGGUUUCAAACUGAUGUGUAACUUCCUGGUUUGGUUUGUGUGUUCAUCAUUCUUAGUUUAAAAUGAAACAUGUUUUUCUGUCACAUGUACUAGUGUCACAGCGUCAACAGAUUCAUUUGGUCCCAAAGAUGUAAAAACAUCCUGAGUUCUGUUUUCUUUCCUCUUCCUUAGUUAAAAAGACAUGAUGAGAUUUAGUGAGAUGAAAUGAGAUGAGACUGAAGUAAAUGACCAUAUAUAUUACUGGUUGAGCAGAGACUUUAGAAAGUGAUUUAAAUUAGAUUUUUGCAUCAUAUCAGCUGUUUUUAAAUGAGACCCAGUAAUGAAGUGUCUGGAACAAACAUCUGGAACUAUAUUAGAAAACAGCACCAGACGAGUCUUUGUUCUCUUAACUCACUAAAUAUCCAGUCUAGAUGAGACGGAUCUCUGCAGACGUUUCUAAACGGGCCGUGACUAAUUCCUGGUAAUUCAUUGUGUCCCAGUCGACACCUGAAGUCAAACUCAGGAAGUCAGAGACGAGUCAGAACCAGGAACCAGGAACCAGAACCCUAUGUUGGACGCUUCUCAAACAGCUGCUGCAGCGUCUUGUGUGUUAUUGGAAGGACACCGGAGGUUUACAAAGAGAAAACGCUGCAGAGACCAGCCGACGACCCAGAGUCAGAAACUCAUUUUGAUUCAGGGGCCACAUUCAGCCAAUAAGUAACUUCAGGUGUUUCCAUGUAGAGUGAAGACGAACAAGGGAAUUAGGAGAACGUUUAUAUUUAAUAACAUAUCCUUUAAAAAAUAUGUAAUUCCUGAAUGAAAUAAUGGAGAAAUUAGGAAUAGAAGUUAUUUUCAUAUGAAAACUGCAGUUUUCUAUUAUAUAAACAGUAAUGACUAUGAACACAUGAAAAUAUAACACAAAAUGUUGAUUCAUCAUCUAGUUGGACACAUUUAUUCUUCAUCAAAUAUAUUUCAAACCAGGUCGUGUGGUUUUUGUGUUGUGUGUUUCUGCUCUGUAGAGUUG